AGUAUAUGAGAAGAGAUGCUGCUUCAAUUUGGAUACAAAAGCAUGCACACACCCAUUUUGCCAGAAAAGCGUACCUUCGAGUAUAUGAAUCAGUUAUAGUAAUACAGACGGGAUUACGAGCAAUGGCAGCUCGCAAUGAACACAGGUUCUGAAGAGAGACCAGAGCUUCCAUAAUUAUCCAGACUCGAUGGCGCCAACACAAAGCUUAUGUUGCUUAUAAGCAGCAAAAGAGAGCUUCGUUGAUUCUUCAGUGCUUAUCACAGAUGCAAUCUUCCAUUUUUUUGAAUUCUUGCAAUUGAAAAGAAAUUAAGAAAGGUGAUUUGGAGAAUACUUAUAUGGGGCCAGAUUACAGUGGCAAAAUGAUUUUGCUCCUUGAUAUCCUGUCGAAAAGUUCUGAAUUGGGCGACAAGGUAUUGGUGUCUAGCCAGAGCUUGACUACCCUGGAUUUAGUGGAGUUUUAUUGUCAAAGUUGCAAAUUAAAGGCAAAGAAGGCAAACAUUGGAAGCGGGGGAAGGAUUGGUAUAGGCUUGAUGGGAGCACUCCAUCUUCUGAUCGGCAGAAUCUUGUGGAGAUGUUUAAUGACCCUGAAAAUGCAAGAGUGAAAUGCACGUUGAUAUCAACUCGUGCUGGAUCUCUGGGCAUUAAUCUUCAUGCUGCAAAUCGUGUGGUUCUUUUGGAUGGAUCCUGGAAUCCAACACACAAUCUGCAAGCCAUUUAUCAAGUUUGGAGACCAAGAAGCUUUUUAGCAGACAGCAUGACUGCCCGCACAUCCCUGCAAUUUGAACUGCGGUGUGGCUAAUAAUCUUCAUGUUAAAUUGGCUAGAGGCUGUUGGAUUGGGGCACUACUUGGAUUGAUAUUUCUGUCAAAAAGAUUUUUGAAAUAUUACAUGGAAGAGGGAUUGGGUUA